rnacentral:rRNA from 1 species
AAAAGGGCAACAACCCUAACCUCCAGCUAAGGUCCCCAAGUCAUGGCUAAGUGGGAAAGGAUGUGAGGAUCCCAAAACAACCAGGAUGUUGGCUUAGAAGCAGCCAUCAUUUAAAGAAAGCGUAACAGCUCACUGGUCUAAAUAAGGGUCUUUGCGCCGAAAAUGUAACGGGGCUGAAGCCAUGCACCGAAGCUGAGGAUUUGCAGUAAUGCAAGUGGUAGCGGAGCGUUCCGUAAGCUGAUGAAGGGAGACCCGUGAGGGCUCCUGGAGGUAUCGGAAGUGCGAAU